UUGUCUAAUGAUAAAAAACUUAGUAAUCAUACCAUCUUUCGGGAUGGGUCAGUCGAUAUGUAGCCAGGCUGUUAUUCUGCAAUUCUGAGACCA